GACGAACCGUCCUAACGUUGUUCGGAAUCACUGGGCGUAAAGGGUGCGUAGGCGGGUCUUUAAGUCAGGGGUGAAAUCCUGGAGCUCAACUCCAGAACUGCCUUUUGAUACUGAGGAUCUUGAGUUCGGGAGAGGUGAGUGGAACUGCGAGUGUAGAGGUGAAAUUCGUAGAUAUUCGCAAGAACACCAGUGGCGAAGGCGGCUCACUGGCCCGGUACUGACGCUGAGGUGCGAAAGCGUGGGGAGCAAACAGG
rnacentral:rRNA from 1 species